rnacentral:rRNA from 1 species
CAUACAAACCAAAUCAAGUUAGAUGUCCGAUCUCAUCAGAUCUCAGAAGCUAAGCAGGGUUGGUCCAAGUUUAUAUUUGGAUGAGAGAAUUCUCGGGUAUAGCCCAGGUAGUAUAGGC